rnacentral:tRNA from 1 species
UUUAAUAUGGCAGAAUUUUAGUGCAAAGGAUUUAAAAUCCUUAAAUAAAGAUAUAUCUAUCUUUUAUUAAAA